rnacentral:rRNA from 1 species
AUUGAACGCUGGCGGCAGGCCUAACACAUGCAAGUCGAACGAGCGGCGGACGGGUGAGUAAUGUCGGGGAAACUGCCGGAUGGAGGGGGAUAACUACUGGAAACGGUAGCUAAUACCGCAUACCAUCAGAUGUGCCGAGCUGGGAUUGGCUGGUAGGUGGGGUAACGGCUCACCUAGGCGACGAUCCCUAGCUGGCCUGAGAGGAUGACCAGCCACACUGGAACUGAGACACGGUCCAGACUCCUACGGGAGGCAGCAGUGGGGAAUAUUGCACAAUGGGCGCAAGCCUGAUGCAGCCAUGCCGCGUGUGUGAAGAAGGCCUUCGGGUUGUAAAGCACUUUCAGCGGUGAGGCGUUACCCGCAGAAGAAGCACCGGCUAACUCCGUGCCAGCAGCCGCGGUAAUAC